GGGGGGGGGGGGGGGGGGGCCUAGCGCGUGCGGGGCGGGCGGCGGCACGGGGAGGGCUUGCGCUUGCGGGUGGCGGGUGGCGGGCGGGUGAGGAGUACAUCGGAAUCUACUUUUUCGGGGGGGAUAACGUGGGGAAACUUACGCUACUACCGCAUACGACCUACGGGUGAAAGCAGGGGAUCUUCGGACCUUGCGCGACUGAAUGAGCCGAUGUCGGAUUAGCUAGUUGGCGGGGUAACGGCCCACCAAGGCGACGAUCCGUAGCUGGUCUGAGAGGAUGAUCAGCCACACUGGAACUGAGACACGGUCCAGACUCCUACGGGAGGCAGCAGUGGGGAAUAUUGGACAAUGGGCGCAAGCCUGAUCCAGCCAUGCCGCGUGGGUGAAGAAGGCCUUCGGGUUGUAAAGCCCUUUUGUUGGGAAAGAAAAGCAGCAGGUUAAUACCCCGCUGUUCUGACGGUACCCAAAGAAUAAGCACCGGCUAACUUCGUG
rnacentral:rRNA from 1 species